rnacentral:rRNA from 1 species
AAUCGAAGCAGUGAACUUAAGCCCCAGUAAACGGCGGCCGUAACUAUAACGGUCCUAAGGUAGCGAAAUUCCUUGUCGGGUAAGUUCCGACCCGCACGAAAGGCGUAACGAUUUGGGCACUGUCUCAACAACAGACUCGGUGAAAUUGUAAUUCCGGUGAAGAUGCCGGAUACCUGCGACAGGACGGAAAGACCCCAUGGAGCUUUACUGUAGCUUGACAUUGGGUCUUGGUACUACAUGUACAGGAUAGGUGGGAGGCUUUGAAACCAGGACGCCAGUUUUGGCGGAGCCAUCCUUGGGAUACCACCCUUGUAGUACUGGGACUCUAACCAUAGGCCAUGAAUCUGGUCUUGGGACACUGUCAGGUGGGCAGUUUGACUGGGGCGGUCGCCUCCCAAAAGGUAACGGAGGCGCUCAAAGGUUCUCUCAGUACGGUCGGAAAUCGUACGUAGAGUGUAAAGGCAAAAGAGAGCUUGAUUGCAAGACAUACAGGUCGAGCAAGGAUGAAAAUCGGACUUAGUGAUCCGGUGGUUCUGCGUGGAAGGGCCAUCGCUCAACGGAUAAAAGCUACCCUGGGGAUAA